UACGUAGGCAGCGAGCGUUGUUCGGAUUCAUUGGGCGUAAAGGGUGCGUAGGCGGCGCGGUAAGUCGGGUGUGAAAUCUCGGAGCUUAACUCCGAAACUGCAUUCGAUACUGCCGUGCUUGAGGACUGGAGAGGAGACUGGAAUUUACGGUGUAGUGGUGAAAUGCGUAGAUAUCGUAAGGAAGACCAGUGGCGAAGGCGGGUCUCUGGACAGUUCCUGACGCUGAGGCACGAAGGUCAGGGGAGCAAACGGG
rnacentral:rRNA from 1 species